rnacentral:rRNA from 1 species
UACGAAGGGGGCUAGCGUUGCUCGGAAUCACUGGGCGUAAAGCGCACGUAGGCGGAUUGCUAAGUCAGGGGUGAAAUCCUGGAGCUCAACUCCAGAACUGCCUUUGAUACUGGCGAUCUCGAGUCCGGGAGAGGUGAGUGGAACUGCGAGUGUAGAGGUGAAAUUCGUAGAUAUUCGCAAGAACACCAGUGGCGAAGGCGGCUCACUGGCCCGGUACUGACGCUGAGGUGCGAAGGCCAGGGGAGCAAACGGG